rnacentral:miRNA from 1 species
UGAAUGUUAUGAAGGCCCGUGG